AAGAGUACCUUUAGGGGAGGUGAGGUGGGGCCUUUGAGACAGACACAGAGAGGCUGAGAGGAAUGGUGGCGUGUCCACGCACUCCUAGACUUUCCGGGGGCGGCUAGGGGACUCGAGGCCUGGGACCCACUCUCAGAGUGGGCCUGUGAUCUAACGAGGGCCUCACAUUCAGGGCAAGACACACCGGAUCCUAAGGAACAAAAUGUCCUAAAGACGGCUGGAAGAUAUAGCUGAGUCCCCAGCGGUGCCCCCUUCUAGCUGUGUGGAAGACCCCGACCACACACACAGCAGCUGGUUUGGGAGCCGGAGUUUCUCUGAAGUCCCAGGGGCUGGAUGGUCCCCGAACCCAUCCCUCAGACAACCAAACCGUUGGCAAAGCCCUUUUCCUUCUCAAAGCCUCCCCAAGACUCACCGCCUCAAGUUUGGUGCUUACCCUAUGCCGGGUGGGAUUGAAGAAAUCACCAUAAAUAUAAUUGCUACAAUUUUUCCAAUAGUUACCAGCCCAGCCCUAUUGGAAGAAAUCAUAAAUGUAACCCCACCAUGUAUUGUUCUCUGGCUUGCUGCCAGGCAUACAGUGGGCCUGCAACCCAUUUUAUCAUUGAACCCUCAGAAGCAUCCAGUUGGGGCUGGGGGUAGGGGCUGCUGACUCCAGUUGGUAACAAAUAAAUGGCUGAUCAGAGAGGGAAGGCUAUUUUGCCAAGGCCA